CUCGGUGAUUGACAGAGCGGAAAAAUGCUCCAGCGGUGACGAUAAAAGGCGGAAUAAUAGUGUGAAAGUUUGUUCUUUCGUUGUUAAGUGUUAAAGGAAGACCCAGCAGGAUUGGGGCUCGGUGUGUUGGAUCGGGACGGGGGUGUGUGGUUGUUUCGGGACGUGCGGGUGAGUGUUGUUGGUAAAUUCGGCGAGGUUCGUAAAUGUGCUAUAUGCUAAAUUGUUAGCUGACUAGCAUCGACUGUGCAGGAGCAGAGGAAGACUAGAGUCAGGAUGCACGUGCGAGGUCGGAUGUUAAUUUCAAGUUCCUGAGUGAGUAUCAGACUGCUUAUUGUUAUCUCAGGCACGUUGUGAGUGAGUACGCGUAUGUGAAGUUUUGUUUUUUGUGUGCUCUCAGUUUGCUUCGGAUACUGGCCACUCGCGCUGCGACAGUAGAGGUGCUCCGGACUUGCCGCGCCAGGGACUUCGGCAUGCGGACCGACUUUCUCCUUCUUCCAUUCUGUGCUUCAGUGAUGGUUAUAACAACACACUAAAUUUUCAAGGGACCGUGAGUACAAAUGACUUGGAAAUCACACCCACACAAGAGCUCCAACAGCGCGCCAACGUACGUGGUAACACAGACUGAUUUAUAAAAUCCCGGGUAUUAAGAACUAUAUUUUUUCUUCUCUUUCUAUUUCUUUAUCCUGUGAAUAAAUGUGAACAUUAGUGAAUUUAAA